UAUAUAGAAGAAAGAAAAAACCAUUCUAGCAACAUUGAUAUGUUCGCUAAACUUCAUCAAACCCAAAAUUUCCAGCUCCACCACCAAUUGACAGUACCCACCGCAGCGCUGCCGUCCUCCUCCGCCAACGAUGGCGCUACCAUUGAAGUCAUCCGCCGUUCACGUGGCCGUCCACCCGGCUCGAAAAACAAAUCCAAAUCCAAACUCAAACCCAGUUUCAUCAUAGCAACACGUGAUGGUCACGUGGAAAAACCCACUAUGAGUCCUUACAUCCUCGAAAUUCCCAUCGGGAUUGAUAUUAUCGAUUCGAUCUAUCGAUUUUGCGGGAAUCAAAAUUUGGGUCUAUGUAUUCUAAACGGGUCGGGUACUGUUACUAAUGUUACACUUAAACAGCCUUCAAUUAACCCAUCUGAUUCUACAAUUACCUUCCAUGGAAGCUUCACUAUUCUUUCGAUUUCAGCUACAAUUAUACCGAGUGAUUUUUCUCCGAUUCCGAACGGGUUCAGUAUUUCAUUAGCCGGUCCACAAGGUCAAGUUGUUGGUGGACCGGUAAUUGGACCGCUUUUUUCAGCUGGACCGGUUUAUUUAAUUGCAACGACGUUUAAUAAUCCUUUUUAUCACAAAUUUCCGGCGGAGGACGACGGCGAGGGCGGUCAGUCGCCGGAUUCCGGCGCCGGAGAUAGUGGGCAGCCACCGGAAUCAAAUCAGCGUGAGUAUUGUUAUAGUUCUAAUCAGUUGCCAUCGGAUGUGAUAUGGGCACCUACCCCUAGACAACUACUGCCUUACUAAAAAUCGUAUUCAAAAUAUGAAAUUUACGGAUUUAGAUUUAAAAUUUAUUUUGUGUUUUUGUGAGUUUAAAAUAUAUGUUUUAUUCUUAUUUAGA
rnacentral:misc_RNA from 1 species